rnacentral:rRNA from 1 species
GAUGAACGUUGGCGGUGUGCCUAAUACAUGCAAGUCGAACGGAGUUAGUAGCAAUACUGGCUCAGUGGCGAACGGGUGAGUAACGCGUUGGUGAUCUGCCUUGAAGUGUGGAAUAACGUUUCGAAAGGAACGCUAAUACCGCAUGUGCUCUCGAUUUUCAGAAAGUUGAGAGUAAAGGAUUUAUUCGCUUCAAGAGGAGCCUGCGUCCCAUCAGCUGGUUGGUAGGGUAACGGCCUACCAAGGCUAUGACGGGUAGGGGACCUGAGAGGGUGGCCCCCCACAAUGGAACUGAAACACGGUCCAUACACCUACGGGUGGCAGCAGUAGGGAAUAUUAGAAAUGGACGAAAGUCUGAUCUAGCAACACCGCGUGUGCGAAGAAGGCCUUCGGGUCGUAAAGCACUUUUGGAAGGAUAGGAAGGAAUGUACUUCCAGAAUAAGUCUCGGCUAACUAACGUG